GUGAAUCAUCGAAUCUUUGAACGCAACUUGCACUCUCUUCGGAGAGUAUGCCUGUUUGAGGGUCAGUAUAAAAAAAAUCGACAUAGUCGCUGUUUCGCGGUGACAUUCGUCGGAAAUUGGGUAAUCUUAAACCUUUUGGUUUUAAGCGGCUUACAAUUUUCUUUACGAUUCCACGAACGUUUCUAAGAUUUUACUUCUUAAACACGAUUAAGGUCUCGAUCUUUAUUAGACGUUGCCGUUGCAUCGGUACACGUC
rnacentral:misc_RNA from 1 species